ensembl:piRNA 21ur-3195 ncRNA
UGUAUAAUACCCUGAACUUCC